rnacentral:tRNA from 1 species
AGGGACGUAGUAUAAUGGUAGUACAGAGGUCUCCAAAACCUUUAGCGUGGGUUCGAUUCCCCCCGUCCCUGCCA